CUUCUAUACGCCUUCGUAUUCGUUUGAUCUUAAUUAUUCCAGAUGAAAUUACUUAAACUUUUUUAUUAUUAUUUUUUUUCAGGAGCUAAUUUCAUAUUUUCCGAUUUCCACAAGUCCAAAAUACUUACCUUCAACUACCUGAAGAUAGCGAAACACGUGUCGUCUUUUAAUAACUCAUUAGUGAUAAUGAUGUUAUUCUAAUUCAGUUUUAAAUUUAAUUUUUGAUUUUCAUAAAAUAUCAGCCACAUCGAUUAGAUAUAUAGAAACUCUUCGUCAAGCAGGCGAAUUUGGAAGGUCGAUAUUCUCUGCGCUGAAAUGUUUGAUUAGCUCCUGCUAUAACUAUAAAGUUGGCAUUUCGGAUUAAGUAGAAGUCUGCCAGGAAUUUAAAAGUUUUCAUAAUUCAUAUGAGCAAAUUUGUUAAGUAAUAUUUUGUGUUAAUUUAUUUAUUGGACCAAUAUCAAGGAUUCUUAUUAAACUUAUGGUCCAGAUAAAAUUCUGGUCAUUAAUUGUAGACAAUAAGUAAUCUGUGAGAUAAAAUUUAAUAGUUUAAUUUAUUAUCAUCCUUAUUUGUGUUAGGUUUCCAUGCACUGGAUAGGAAUAACAUAAAAAACACAUAAUAAUAUUAUUGAUGCAUGAUCCCUGAGUAUAAAGGAGAAAUAAUAUAUUGGAAAUAACAUUUUAUUCACAACGCACAAUGAAUUUCAACUUGCUGUGGUUUUUUGUAACAAUCAUUUCUGUCAUGGUUUCCGUGAAAGCGGUUGACGCGAAUGCACAAAAUGAACCAGGUGAUGGUCGAGCAAGAAUUUACUUAAGACCGACACCGGGACACUUCUAUGGUUGAGGAGAAAUAUACUUCUUAAUUAUUGUACUAUCACUUCAAUCCUAUUCUCUGAACCUUCAUGUUCCUCUUCCAAGAAUACGCCUUCCAAUCCUGUAUAAAAAUAUUUCUUCCUGACAAUUAACUAGCUUACCCAGCCAAAUUCUUCCGCCUAAAAGAUAUGAAAUAUCAACUGACCGGUUCCUUCUUCCGGCAUACGCCAUAUAAUAUUCGGUACCCCCAAGCCCAAGACACCCUUCUCCUUCAACCCCCACCACAUAAUAAUUUUUUCAAUGUCCAAUAGAACUAAACCUCGUAUCGAAUAAACUCAAAUGCAUAAAGUAA